rnacentral:lncRNA from 1 species
UGCGACGCCAUGAAUACAAAGGAGACCGGACACGAGCAAGCGGCACCUCACUCCCUCUCCCUCUCUCCUCAGCCAAAGUUGACAGCAGCCUACAAGCGCCAGCAGAGCUCUUCCCGGUGGCCAUGGCCAAGCCCCCGCUUCAGACGGCCACGAUCAUCCUGCUCGCGCUCCUCGCGGCCGCGUCGUGCCUCCACACCGUCGACGCCGUCGCUUUAGGUAAGUGCGUACAUACUACUACUACAUGCGAGCGACACCCUUAGCGUGGUUGUCAUCCGUCUUGAUCCCGUGCAUAGAUGAGCAUGCAGCCCAGAGCACGGUAGCCCGGCACGAGGCCCGUUUUUUUGGCCCGGCCCAAGCACGGCCCGGCCCGGUUGGCUUCGUGCCCGGGCCAGCCCGGCCCAUUUUACCAGGCCGUGCCUGGGCUGCUGGGUGCGCCCGCCGGGCGGCACGGCCCGGCCCGCCAGAGAGCGGCAGGCACGGACCGGCCCGGUACGGGGAAGCGCAUAGCCUCGGCUUCGGCUCCCGACCCGACACUCCGUCUCCUCUCUCACUCAGUCACUCUCUCGCGCUCGCGGUUUCGCUCUCGCCCUCGGCCUCUCCGUCUCUCCUCCUGCUCUGCUGGCUGCUGCUCACCGCCUCACCGUCGGCCGUCGCCGUAGUCUCUGUCGGAUCUACGUCGCCGUAGUCUCUGCUCUGCGGCGCCCCUCUCCAGACUCCGGCUCUGCAUCGGUUGAUCGGUGAAAUCCCUAACCCUAAUCACAAAUCCCUAACCCUAAUCUCCGCUCCGGACUCUCCCUCCCACCGUCCCCCGUCAUCGUCUCCGGCUCCGGGCUGCGGCUUGGCAGAGAUAAGUCCCUCUCCGGCUCUCCCUCUCCAGUUGGCCAUCCCAAUCCCUAACCCUAACCCUAAUCUCCUCUUCUCCGGCUGACCGACUCUCCCUCUCGCGUCGUCCGUCGUCGACCGUCGUGCACUUUACCCUCGUCUCCGGCUCCGGGCUCCGGCUUGGCAGGUAUGUCACUCUUCCUCGCUUCCUCACCAGUUGACCAUUCCAAUCCCUAACCCUAACCCUCGCUGCUUGCUUGUGGACUUUGGUAGGUCGCCGGCCGACUACGGAGUCGUGCUAGUGCCGCCACUGCCGUCGAGGAACGGUGCCGAGAUAGAAGUCGGUUAUGGAUGACGACGACGACAACGGUCGGUACCCUAGAACCAUCAACGAGGAGCUCAUUGAGUUAGGGCAGCUUCCCGAUGACGUCGAUGACAUGGGAGAUGCUGCUGCUGCCUUGUUCGGUGUCGAUACCACUCCUAAUCCGGGGCCAGUAAGUGAUGCUGCUGGCUCUAAUGAACUUGAUUCAUUGACUUCUUCUAGUACUGGUAAACGUCGAUCUGCUGUUUGGGAUGACUUCACUGAAGUCACAGAAAACCGUAAUGGUAAGAAGGUGCGCAUUGCAGGUAUUUGCAAAUUUUGCAAAGCUAGGUUGAGUGCUAAUUCUAAUGCUGGCACUGGACAUUUGCUUAGGCACCAGAAAUCAUGUAAAAAGAAGUCUGAUCAUGCUGCUAUGGUUCAAACUAGACUUGCUUUGAACCCUGAUGGGUCUUUUAGAAACUGGGAAUAUGAUCCUCAAGUGGCUAGAACUGAGCUUUGUCGUUUGAUUGCUAGACUUGAUCUUCCUUUAGGGAUAGCUGACACAGAUGCUUGGGAUGAGUACAUUCAGCAUGCUCACAACCCUAGAUAUGUUAGAGUAUCUAGGUUUACAACUGCUAGAGACAUGGUUAAGUUAUACAAUGACAAAUUAAAGAACUUAAAAGAUGAUGUUUUUCCUACUGUGUCUUCUAUUUGCUUGACUUCUGAUAUAUGGUCUGGUAAUGCCAAGGAAGACUACAUUACUGUUGUUGCUCAUUUUGUUAAUGCUGAUUGGGAGUUAAAGAAGUGUGUGAUAGGCUUUAAAUUGAUCCAAGUGUCUCAUAAUGGUGUUAACAUUGCUGAACGCAUUGCUUGUGUGAUUCAAUACUUUGGCAUGAUUGAUAAAGUGUUCUCUGUUACCUUAGAUAAUGCUUUUUCUAAUUCAACUGCCAUGCUCACAUUGUCACCUAUGCUUGCUGGUGUUGGGGACUUGUUCUCAAAUGCUAUGAGUUAAGAACAAGGCAACACAGAAAAUGUUAAACGAUAAAGUCCUCCGUCCUUUGAAGCAUUAUUUCCCUUAGGAUAUAACGAUCUCCGGACGAAGGUCAUGAAGGACGAACCUUCAUCAUCACAGUAUACAAAAGACGAAGCAUAUAAAACAUAAAAAAUAACAUGAAUAUUUAUAUAAUAUUAUUCAUUUAACUUUGUUAUAUUAUCAUAGAGAAAUAGAAACAAUAUUGUAUUAUAAGUGUACCUUCGGCUUGGAAGGAGAUGAAAGUACAAGUGUGACGCAAAAAGCGAAUGCCAAGUCAGCGUGAACAGUACGGGGGUACUGUUCACCUAUUUAUAGGCACGGGAUACAACCCAUACAAAAUUACAUACAUGCCCUUUACAUUUGGUGAUAAUUCCAUAGCAAUCUAUCGAGGUCUAAAUGGCCUUUUCAUCUUUAAGUCGGUUCCCUUUUCUGCGAACAUGCCGAAGCUUUCCUGCUUCACAGCUUCGGCACUGCCAACCUUCGUAUCUUUUGAGGUUCUCCCUCUUUGAUAUAAGUCCGAAGGUACCUGUUCACACAUUACACUCUAGAAACACUGUUAAAUCAUGUUUUUGAGGACCUUCGGAAGCCGAAGGCCCCCAACAGUAGCCCCUCGCAAUAUUAAUUUGUUUGAAAUAAUAAAUUCAGAUUGCGAUAUGAACGAAGGCUUUAUGCCGAAGGUCCGAAAAAACACCUUCCCUUUGCUAGAAUAGCAACAUUCAAUGACAAGUGGGGUCUUUCAACUUUCAACGCAUCAAGCGUAUAAAUACGGCCAUACCGCAAACUUAUUUUGCACGCUUUCUGGCCAACCACUCCUGCUCACUCAUUUUUUAGCUCUUGUGCACUGUGAUCUGCUAAGUUUUUAGCUUUGAAGCUUCGGCUUUUAAAAACAGUUUUUUAGUGUUUCCGAAGAUGUCUGAAGCUGCUAAGAAGGCUGCUGCUGAGAUGAAGCUGAGUCUUGAUGAAGAGAAGAACUUAGGGUUUCUUAUAGCAAUGUCGAAGACCAACACAGAAAAGAUCACCAGGGAAAUUCUGGAAGGGCUGUCUGAAGAUACUGGUGACAGUGAAAGUUAUGAUGUGGACAGCGGUGGCGAAGACUCCGAAGAUCGCCCCUGGCGACCAAGCCAUUCAGUUUAUGGUAAAUCAACUAUCAAAGAGAAUCAUCUUGUUAAUAUGAGAGGAAGGUAUUUCCGGGACCUGUCCAUUGUGAGGGCGGACGAAGGGGAAAAAACUUGUCCACACCCUGAAGAAAAUGAAGUUGUGGUGUAUCGAAGCUUUUUGAAAGCUGGAUUGCGAUUCCCCUUGAGCAGCUUCGUCGUGGAGGUGUUGAAAAUCUUCGAAGUCUAUCUUCAUCAACUUACUCCCGAGGCAAUUAUAAGGCUAAAUAUCUUCGUGUGGGCCGCGAGAAGCCAAGGUCUGAAGCCUGACGCAAGAAGCUUCUGUAAUGUUCAUGAAUUAUUAUAUGAAACAAAGCCUUGGGGCAAAGAACAGUACCAUAACAACUUUGGCUGCUACAGCUUCGUCUCUCGGUCCGGGGCAAGCUGUCCCGUACCAACCUUUCGGAAGAGAUGGCCCGGGGAUUGGAUGACAGAAUGGUUUUAUGUGAAGAAUGACUUAUCAGCACGAGAAGACAUCAAAGGUAUAAUUAUGCGUCCUAUUUGGCAAAGCUUCGGCCUUCGGAGGCCGAAGGUUGAAAUGAACGAAGCCGCCGAAGAGUGCCAAAGAGCCUUCGGCGUUGUCUGCUCUUUUAUAGGAACAAGGGACUUAGUACAAGAGCAUAUUGCCUUCAGGGUGUGGCCGCUUGCGGAGAAAUGGGAAAUGCCACAAGAAACCAUUAAAGAGGCCGACGAAGGUGGACUUGUCAGGUUUAAGUACACUUUUAAAUUUGAAGAUAAAUUUAUUGAGCCAGAUGAUGAGUGGUUGAAAAGCAUUGACAAUUUAAGUGAUGAGCUGCUUGGGACAUACUCGAAGGCCGAAGAUACUGCAAUGUCAGCAGCCUUCGGAGGCCGAAAAAAGAAAAGGCUGAAUCGGGUAUUUGAUGCCAUCGGGUUUGUCUACCCUGACUAUUGCUACCCCAUUCGAAGGCAGAAGAGAAAAAAUACAACCUCUGCAAAAGAAGAAACUGCAGCUGCUCCUAGCGAGCCAGAACCGAAAAGGAAGAAGAUAAAGGUUCUUACUUAUCGACCGCGUUAUAUUGAACCAGCUUCGGUGCCUGAGUUUACCGGAGAGACUUCUUCGGCCACCGAAGCUGAAAAACCAGCCGAGCCAACUUUGCUGCCAGAAGUCACAGAAACAGCCGAAAUACCAACGAAGACAAAAUUGGAGCAAUCAAAAAUUUUGUUACCAGAAACGAAAGAGAAGGCCGAAGCGCCAUUCACAGAAAAAAUGGAAGAGGUAAAGGAAGCAACCGAGGACUCCAAAACAUCAGAAGUUUUGAGUCCUGUGGCAAACAUUGAAACAGUAAGUAAUCAAAAAGUGCCAGCAGUGACUCCGAAAAGAAGGAGAAUGGCUAAUGUGCUAGAUGUGCUGGAAACGAUCAAAUCUUCAAGCACCCCUCCGAAGAAGGCUGCCGUCACUCCUGAAACAACAGUCGAAGCUUCGGGUUCUAAAGCUCCAGAGCAAAAUACUGAAGCCGAAGCUGGGCCCUCAGAGCCCUCAAAGGCAAAAACCUUGGAAAGUGAGGCAGAAAAAAUAACAAAGCCAACUUUUGCUGAAGGAACUGGUGUUGUUACCCCCGAAGCAUCCAAAAUUCGUGAUUAUAUUUUUCGUCAUGCUUCGGGGAAAAAAUUAACAGAAAAAGAAGAACAAGAGGCCCAACACUAUGCCCAAAAGUUGAAAUAUCCAAAGGGGGCGUUGAUAUUUAAUGGCAGUGGAGAAGAAGAUUUCUUGUAUUGCCUCCCCGACAGCAAGGAAAUUUCUGUCUGUCGGGAGAUGAGCAGAAGCUUCGGAUUUCCAACUUUAGAAGACGGACUUUCGGUGCUGUCAAAGAACGAUCUGGCUGACAGCCUAGCUUACAACAGUUUAAAGGUGCGACAAAUGGAAUUCUUAUAUUUUUGUUGAAUUCAAAAUUUUUCGUUUGUUUAAAACUAUUGACAUAGACAUAUUCCUGUCUGCAGGGCCUGAUACUCAGCAAUGCCCUCAGAGCACAGAAAGAUGCUGAGGACGAAGGAUGUACUAUAGCCCUGAGCAACCUUCGUUCCGAAGUAAUUGAACUGAGGAACGAAGGUCUCGAAAAAGACAAAAUAUUAUACUCAUUGAUAGAUAAAAUAAAGGAGGACGAAGCUGCUUUCAAAAGUCAAGCUGAAGCUCAGAAACGCGAAAUUGAAGACCUUCGGAAACAACUGGCCAGAGCCAAAGAAGAACGUAUACUUGAAGAAACAAAGCGUGAACUCAGCGAUCAAUGGGCAGAUCAUCUAGAAGUGACUGUUGAAGAGCUUCGUUCGUCCAAAAAGAAAUGCUACAAUAAAUCUGUAGAUUGUGUUAAAAAAUUAAAGGCUAGCUUCGCCAAGGUCGGCGCAUUCUCAAGUGAAGAAAAUUUUUUGAGGGGCAAUCCCGAAAGUGUCAUUGAAUGGAUUGACCACGAAGCCGAAGCCUUCGAAGAAAUUUUAAAUAGCCGAGGAGAUAUAUGUGCCUUCUCUGGCGCCAGAGGGAUUGCCACCAUUUUAGAGAAGAAGGGCUGUGAGCAUGUGAAAAUUUUAGCACAGUCCGAAGCUGCUUUGUCCUUUGAAGAUACAAAAGAUCCUUCGGCCGAAGCUAGCAUAAUUGGUGGAAAGUUUUUUACUGAUAUCUGGGAUAACGGUGGCCGAGAAAUGGCAAGAGAAAUUAUUCAGAGAAGUGAAAAGGGCAUCCAUGAUGCUAGAGAAGUGGCUAAGGCUGCUGAAAAGAGCACAGAGCCCGAAGGUCAAUUAGGUACUAAAUAAUAGUUUUUACCGUGUUGUAAUCUUUAGGCUUUUAAGAUCUGUUUGCGAUUUGUAAUAGUAAUGUAGUCGUGUCCUGCUUCAGAUCCUACUAAAGCGCCUUCGGGCCCUCAGCCGAAGGGGGACGACGAAAUUAAAAAGAUGGCCGAAGAUAUUAUGGACGAAGUCGUCAAUCGGCUUCUGAAUGAAGCUGCAGAAGUCGUUUUGAGAGAGGAUUAAACAUUUUUGUAAAAAACCUCGGAAAUGUAAUAUAAUGUAACACUUUGUAACCCCGAAUGUAAUAUAUCUAUUUUUGCUACUCAAUUCUUUACGAUGCAUGAAACUUUACACACGUACCGUUUUUGAGUCUGGCGAAAAAACACCUUCCCUUCUUUUCAUGCUUCGUGAAGAAUAUCCAAGCUUCGUAAAAAAAAUUCUCGAAGCUAUACUUCGAAGAUGAAGAUUGUGUCUCCUUGUGACCACGAUUUUCACUCUUUCAGAUCAUACUUCCGAAGAUCAAUAUUGUGUCCCCUUCUUGUGACCACGAUUUUCACUCUUUCAAAUCAUACUUCCGAAGAUCAAUAUUGUGUCCCCUUCUUGUGCCAUAUGCAACAUGAUGUAUGAUGCUUAUGCUAUGCAAAAUGAUGUGAUGAUGUUAUGCUACGUAGAUGACAUUUGUUCCGAAAGAUACACACAUAUCCCCACACAAUAUUUUUGUAUCAGCACUGAUUCUUCGCUGUAAGCUCUGCAUUCCCUUAGGAACGUCUUUGGAGCUUCUUCGCCUUUUACUUAGGCGGUAUAAGCUCUGCAUUCCCUUAGGAACGUCUUUGGAGCUUCUUCGCCUUUUACUUAGGCGGUAUAAGCUCUGCAUUCCCUUAGGAACGUCUUUGGAGCUUCUUCGCCUUUUACUUAGGCGGUAUAAGCUCUGCAUUCCCUUAGGAACGUCUUUGGAGCUUCUUCGCCUUUUACUUAGGCGGUAUAAGCUCUGCAUUCCCUUAGGAACGACUUUGGAGCAGAAAACUUACACUGCGCUCCCUUCGGAACGACUUUUUGUGACUUCGUCAGGCUUACUCUGCGUUCCUUAGAACGACUUUUUGUUGCUUCGAAGGAUUUUCGGUAGUCCGAAGGUCCUUUUUAUUAUCACAAACCUGUGAAGAAAACAUAUUUUUCUUGUAGGAAUCAACGAAACUAAUUACAUGAAAACCUGAACAAUGUCCUUUAUUGCAGAAAAUAAAACUGAAUGAAAAAGAUUGCUAUUAAGGUAGGAUAUUUGUCAAUAGAUGUGCUUUGAUUCUGGCACGGUGCUGUUGACCGUGCGAGCUUCGGACUGUUCUCUGAAGUCCCUUUGAUGUGGAGCAUAUUGGCUCCCUUCUGGCUGCUGACCUUGUUGCAACGGAGGUGGAGGCGGAGGCUGUUGCCAGGAAGCUGAAGGCUGACUUGCCGAAGCAGCAGAGACUGCAGGAUGGUUGCCCACAUAUUCUGGGAUGUAGGGCGAAUGAUACGAAGCUGUAUGCAUGACCUGCUUCGGCUGGGCUUGUUGUGCUGCUGCUUCAGCUAUUUCCUUUUGCUUCUGUAUAGUAACAUGGCACAUCCUGGUAGUAUGGCCUUUGUUCUCACCGCAGAAUAAGCAAAAGAUUCUUCUUGGUUGAUCGCCAAAUCUUCCUCCGAAGCCCCUGGCGCCUCUGCCUCUUGGAGCUGGUGGCCGGAAGGAGCUUUGCUGUUGUCCAGAAGCCUGCGAGGAGCAUUGUGGCCUUUGCUGUUGGCUUCCUCUGUCAUCAUUUUGCGUAGAAUUGUGAAUUGAUCUCACAUGCCUCGGGUAAAACCUCCCUCCGAAGCCCCUGGUCAUUUCAGAAAAUCUGAAAGCCUCCUCCCUUCUUUGGCGAAAGUCAUUGUCGGCCCGAAUGUAUUCAUCCAUUUUCUGGAGAAGCUUCUCCAAAGUUUGAGGAGGCUUUCUGGCGAAGUACUGAGCUGACGGACCUGGCCGAAGCCCCUUGAUCAUGGCCUCAAUGACAAUUUCAUUGGGCACCGUUGGUGCCUGUGCCCUCAAACGCAAGAACCUUCGGACAUAUGCCUGAAGGUAUUCUUCGUGGUCCUGAGUGCACUGGAACAGAGCCUGAGCAGUGACCGGCUUCGUCUGAAAUCCUUGAAAGCUGGUUAACAACAAAUCCUUCAGCUUCUGCCAUGAAGUGAUCGUUCCUGGUCGAAGGGAGGAAUACCAGGUUUGAGCAACACUUCUGACAGCCAUAACGAAAGAUUUGGCCAUGACUGAAGCAUUGCCACCGUACGAAGACACUGUUGCUUCGUAGCUCAUCAAGAACUGCUUCGGGUCUGAAUGGCCAUCAAAUACGGGGAGCUGAGGCGGCUUGUAGGACGGAGGCCAAGGUGUAGCCUGUAACUCAGCGGACAGGGGAGAAGCAUCAUCAAAAACAAAAUUCCCACGAUGGAAAUUGUCAUACCAGUCGUCUUCGUUGUGAAAGCCCUCCUGAUGAAGGUCUUGAUGCUGAGGCCUUCGGUGUUGCUCAUCCUGAGCAAGAUGACGAACUUCUUCAGAGGCUUCAUCUAUCUGCCUCUGCAGUUCAGCUAGCCUGGCCAUCUUCUCCUUCCUGCGUUGAACCUGCUGCUGAAGGAUUUCCAGAUUCUGAAUCUCCUGAUCUAGAUCAUCCUCCGGAUGUGUUGGACUGGUAGCCUUCCUCUUCUGGCUUCGUGCCUCUCUGAGAGAAAGGACGUCUUGAUUGGGGUCCAGCGGCUGCAGCGUGCCAGCCCCUGGUGCUGAAGCCUUCUUCGGCGGCAUGACGAAGCUGAUGCUUGCCGAAGGUGUCGAAAAGCUCAGGAAAUGGAAGUGAGUUCACCGGAGGUGGGCGCCAAUGUUGGGGACUUGUUCUCAAAUGCUAUGAGUUAAGAACAAGGCAACACAGAAAAUGUUAAACGAUAAAGUCCUUCGUCCUUUGAAGCAUUAUUUCCCUUAGGAUAUAACGAUCUCCGGACGAAGGUCAUGAAGGACGAACCUUCAUCAUCACAGUAUACAAAAGACGAAGCAUAUAAAACAUAAAAAAUAACAUGAAUAUUUAUAUAAUAUUAUUCAUUUAACUUUGUUAUAUUAUCAUAGAGAAAUAGAAACAAUAUUGUAUUAUAAGUGUACCUUCGGCUUGGAAGGAGAUGAAAGUACAAGUGUGACGCAAAAAGCGAAUGCCAAGUCAGCGUGAACAGUACGGGGGUACUGUUCACCUAUUUAUAGGCACGGGAUACAACCCAUACAAAAUUACAUACAUGCCCUUUACAUUUGGUGAUAAUUCCAUAGCAAUCUAUCGAGGUCUAAAUGGCCUUUUCAUCUUUAAGUCGGUUCCCUUUUCUGCGAACAUGCCGAAGCUUUCCUGCUUCACAGCUUCGGCACUGCCAACCUUCGUAUCUUUUGAGGUUCUCCCUCUUUGAUAUAAGUCCGAAGGUACCUGUUCACACAUUACACUCUAGAAACACUGUUAAAUCAUGUUUUUGAGGACCUUCGGAAGCCGAAGGCCCCCAACAGUUGGUUAUUUGGGUGCUGAUGUUGAUCCAACAGAUACCAGUAACAAAACUUAUAGUGUGCUUCAUCAGCGUUGUGCAUGUCACAUUAUUAACUUGAUAGUGAAGUGUGGCUUGAAAAGGCUUAAGGAUUAUUUAGAUGUGUUUAGGACUGCUAUUAAUUUCUUAAACUCUUCUAACCAGAGAAUUGGUUCAUUUAGUAAUUACUGCAAAGCAAAAGGUUGUAGACCUAGAAAAUUUGGUUUAGACAUGGAUGUUAGAUGGAAUUCAACUUAUCUUAUGCUAAAACAUCUCUUGCCAUAUAAGUCUGUGUUUUCUGUGUUCAUUAAUACACACUAUGGCUAUCCUCUACUGAAUGAACAACAUUGGUAUGUAGCUGAAAAGGUUUUGGAGUUCCUUGAGCUGUUUUAUGAAUCAACUGUUGUCUUGUCUGGUGUUUAUUACCCCACCAGUCCUUUGGUAAUCCAUCACAUACUUGAAUUUGCUAGCCACUUGCAUGAACAUGAACAUGAUACUAAUCUAAGUGAUGUUGUUGUUCCAAUGAAAGCUAAGUUCAUGAAGUACUGGAAGUCUAUACCAAUGUUAUAUUCCUUUGCAUUUGUUCUAGACCCUAGAGCUAAAAUGAGGGGUUUGUAUAAUGUUCUUGAACUGCUUUCUCAAUCUAACAAUUAUAAUUACAGUACUUAUUUUGCUGAUGUUAAGACUGAGUUGUAUAAGCUAUAUGCCAAGUAUGAAACUAAGUUUGGUGCUGCUAGGCCAUCUAGAACCACACAUCAAUCAGGUAUGACAGGUAAAAGAAAACAGGCUUGGGGUAAAAUUUUUGGAGGAACAAGUGCUUCUAGAUCCUCAACUGCAUCAGGUUCUUCAGGUAGUAGUGGACAUGGUGUGGGUAUUUGUGAGCUAACUGUUUACCUUGACAGUGACAAUGUGGCUGCCUAUGAGGAUGAUUUUGAUAUCUUAAAUUGGUGGCAUGAGCAUAAACUAACCUAUCCAAUUCUUUCAAUUAUGGCUAGAGACAUUAUGUCUGUUCCUGCCUCAACUACUUCUUCGGAGUCUACUUUCAGUUUGUCUGGCAGGAUUCUUGAGGAUCGACGACGGCGCUUGAACUCAGAGACAGUGGAGAUGUUGGUGUGCAUCAAAGAUUGGGAGCUAGGCCAACAACGGGCACAACAUGCUGUGGUGGACAAUGAAUUAGAGGAGUCCUUCAAGGACCUCUGGCUGGAUGAAGAUGCUGGUGCUACUAACACUUUGGCUUGAUGUGUCCUAAUACUUUGUCUUGAUCUGUCAUUCUGUCCUGAUAGUCUGAUACUUAGGCAGUUAGGCUUGAUCUGUCCUGAUACUUUGGCUUGACCUGUCCUGAUACUUUGGCUUGUACAUUGUAAUAACUUUGAACAUUUGAAUUAUAAACUGAGCUGGCCGUACUCUUUUUUCCUUUCUAGGGUUUCUCACGAGGUGUGAGUUUUACCUAGAAAGGUUUUUAAUGAGGCGGCAUUGCACUAACAGCUCAAUAUUGUGUAUAUUUUCUAUGUGAAUUGUGUUUUACUGUAUUUUGUAUGUUAUCGGGCUUCGGGCUGGCCCGACACUGCUUUGGGCCAGGGCUUUUCGGGCUGGCCCGGCCCGAAAAACGGCCCGCUGGGCCGUGCCUGGGCCUGAUGCAAGGCACGCAGGACUGUGCAGGCACGGCACGGUAGGCCCGUGGGCCUGGGCGUGCCGUGCCUUUUUGGGCCGUGCCUAGACCGGGCCCGGGCCGUGCCGUGCCGGGCGGCACGUUUGCUCAUCUAUAAUCCCGUGCGUGACUGCUGGUGACCGCUGACGCCGGUGCUCGCGCGCAUAUGCAUGCUGCAAGGUUCUGCUGGGGCAAGUGUUGCGUUCGGUGCGCGAGGGCACCCGCACGACGGGCACGUGAGGCGUACAUGAGCUCCUGCGGCCUCUGCUGCAAGGAGUGCAACUGCGAAGCCGCCGCGCGACAUCCAUGACUGCCCUUGCUACCGCAACAUGCUCACAGCCGGCCCCAAGAAGAGGCCCAAGUGUCCUUGAGACUGAGACUGCGAGGCUGGCUCACACGACGACAUCCAUGGGACUGCGACUGAUGCCUGCAACUGCGAUUCGAUCCAUGCUGGGCCACACAACCUGUUAUACAUGUUAUGGAUCCAGAUACUUAUUUGGUUGUUAGAUUUUUUGUUGUUAUUUCGUUGUUAGAUUUUUGGUUUUCUUUGUUUGGUUGUGAAUAUGUAGAAUGCAUGAUCUACUAUGCAUAUUUGUAUUUUGUUUUUAGCAUUGAGCUACUUAAGAUUUUAAAAAAUAAAUAUCGAAUUUGUCC